rnacentral:sRNA from 1 species
CUUGGUCAUUUAGAGGAAGUAAAAGUCGUAACAAGGUCUCCGUUGGUGAACCAGCGGAGGGAUCAUUAUCGAGUUUACAACUCCCAAACCCCAUGUGAACCUUACCAUCACGUUGCUUCGGCGGUCACGCCCCGGCGCCCCCGUGCCCGGAACCAGGCGCCCGCCGGAGGACCCCAAACCAUUGUUGUAUCUAGUGGCAUUGUCUGAGUGGCGUAAAGCAAAUCAAUCAAAACUUUCAACAACGGAUCUCUUGGUUCUGGCAUCGAUGAAGAACGCAGCGAAAUGCGAUAAGUAAUGUGAAUUGCAGAAUUCAGUGAAUCAUCGAAUCUUUGAACGCACAUUGCGCCCGCCAGCAUUCUGGCGGGCAUGCCUGUUCGAGCGUCAUUUCAACCCUCGCAGCCCCUCUGGGCAGCGGUGUUGGGGACCGGCACAACUGGCGCGCCCCCGUGGCGCCCGGCGCCGCCCCCGAAAUACAGUGGCGGUCCCGCCGCAGCCUCCCUUGCGUAGUAGCACACCUCGCACCGGAGCGCGGCGCGGCCAUGCCGUAAAACCCCCGACUUUCUGAGUUUGACCUCGAAUCAGGUAGGAAUACCCGCUGAACUUAAGCAUAUCAAUAAGCGGAGGAAAAGAAACCAACAGGGAUUGCCCCAGUAACGGCGGGUGAAGCGGCAACAGCUCAAAUUUGAAAUCUGGUCCCCAGGGCCCGAGUUGUAAUUUGUAGAGGAUGCUUUUGGCGCGGUGCCUUCCGAGUUCCCUGGAACGGGACGCCAUAGAGGGUGAGAGCCCCGUCUGGUUGGAUACCAAGCCUCUGUAAAGCUCCUUCGACGAGUCGAGUUGUUUGGGAAU